GGGACUUCGGUCCGCCGGCGAGGGGCGAACGGGUGAGUAAUGCAUCGAAAUGUGCCUAUCAGGGGGGGAUAACGCUUCAAAAGGAGUGCUAAUACCGCAUAUUCUCCGAGGAGGAAAGCAGGGGACCUUCGGGCCUUGCGCUGAUAGAGCGGCCGAUGUCGGAUUAGCUAGUUGGUGAGGUAAAGGCCUACCAAGGCGACAAUCUGUAGCGGGUCUGAAAGGAUGAUCCGCCACACUGGGACUGAAACACGGCCCAAACUCCUACGGGAGGCAGCAGUGGGGAAUAUUGGACAAUGGGCGAAAGCCUGAUCCAGCCAUGCCGCGUGUGUGAAAAAGGCCUUUUGGUUGUAAAGCACUUUAAGCGAGGAGGAGGCUACCGAGAUUAAUACUCUUGGAUAGUGGACGUUACUCGCAAAAUAAGCACCGGCUAACUCUGUG
rnacentral:rRNA from 1 species